CAUUGCCGCUGCCUAAUACAUGCAAGUCGAACGAACUCUGGUAUUGAUUGGUGCUUGCAUCAUGAUUUACAUUUGAGUGAGUGGCGAACUGGUGAGUAACACGUGGGAAACCUGCCCAGAAGCGGGGGAUAACACCUGGAAACAGAUGCUAAUACCGCAUAACAACUUGGACCGCAUGGUCCGAGUUUGAAAGAUGGCUUCGGCUAUCACUUUUGGAUGGUCCCGCGGCGUAUUAGCUAGAUGGUGGGGUAACGGCUCACCAUGGCAAUGAUACGUAGCCGACCUGAGAGGGUAAUCGGCCACAUUGGGACUGAGACACGGCCCAAACUCCUACGGGAGGCAGCAGUAGGGAAUCUUCCACAAUGGACGAAAGUCUGAUGGAGCAACGCCGCGUGAGUGAAGAAGGGUUUCGGCUCGUAAAACUCUGUUGUUAAAGAAGAACAUAUCUGAGAGUAACUGUUCAGGUAUUGACGGUAUUUAACCAGAAAGCCACGGCUAACUACGUGCCAGCAGCCGCGGUAAUACGUAGGUGGCAAGCGUUGUCCGGAUUUAUUGGGCGUAAAGCGAGCGCAGGCGGUUUUUUAAGUCUGAUGUGAAAGCCUUCGGCUCAACCGAAGAAGUGCAUCGGAAACUGGGAAACUUGAGUGCAGAAGAGGACAGUGGAACUCCAUGUGUAGCGGUGAAAUGCGUAGAUAUAUGGAAGAACACCAGUGGCGAAGGCGGCUGUCUGGUCUGUAACUGACGCUGAGGCUCGAAAGUAUGGGUAGCAAACAGGAUUAGAUACCCUGGUAGUCCAUACCGUAAACGAUGAAUGCUAAGUGUUGGAGGGUUUCCGCCCUUCAGUGCUGCAGCUAACGCAUUAAGCAUUCCGCCUGGGGAGUACGGCCGCAAGGCUGAAACUCAAAGGAAUUGACGGGGGCCCGCACAAGCGGUGGAGCAUGUGGUUUAAUUCGAAGCUACGCGAAGAACCUUACCAGGUCUUGACAUACUAUGCAAAUCUAAGAGAUUAGACGUUCCCUUCGGGGACAUGGAUACAGGUGGUGCAUGGUUGUCGUCAGCUCGUGUCGUGAGAUGUUGGGUUAAGUCCCGCAACGAGCGCAACCCUUAUUAUCAGUUGCCAGCAUUAAGUUGGGCACUCUGGUGAGACUGCCGGUGACAAACCGGAGGAAGGUGGGGAUGACGUCAAAUCAUCAUGCCCCUUAUGACCUGGGCUACACACGUGCUACAAUGGAUGGUACAACGAGUUGCGAACUCGCGAGAGUAAGCUAAUCUCUUAAAGCCAUUCUCAGUUCGGAUUGUAGGCUGCAACUCGCCUACAUGAAGUCGGAAUCGCUAGUAAUCGCGGAUCAGCAUGCCGCGGUGAAUACGUUCCCGGGCCUUGUACACACCGCCCGUCACACCAUGAGAGUUUGUAACACCCAAAGUCGGUGGGGUAACCUUUUAGGAACCAGCCGCCUAAGGUGGGACAGAUGAUUAGGGUGAAGUCGUAACAAGUGGCUU
rnacentral:rRNA from 1 species